AUUGAACGCUGGCGGCGUGCCUAACACAUGCAAGUCGAGCGGUAACAGGUGUAGCAAUACAUGCUGACGAGCGGCGGACGGGUGAGUAACGCUUGGGAAUCUGCCUAUUAGUGGGGGACAACCCGGGGAAACUCGGGCUAAUACCGCAUACGCUCUACGGAGGAAAGCCGGGGACCGCAAGGCCUGGCGCUAAUAGAUGAGCCCAAGUCGGAUUAGCUAGUUGGUAGGGUAAGGCCUACCAAGGCGACGAUCCGUAACUGGUCUGAGAGGACGACCAGUCACACCGGAACUGAGACACGGUCCGGACUCCUACGGGAGGCAGCAGUGGGGAAUAUUGGACAAUGGGCGAAAGCCUGAUCCAGCGACGCCGCGUGGGUGAAGAAGGCCUGCGGGUUGUAAAGCCCUUUCAGUGGGGAAGAAAAGCCUCGACCUAACACGUCGGGGUCUUGACGUAACCCAUAGAAGAAGCACCGGCUAACUCUGUGCCAGCCGCCG
rnacentral:rRNA from 1 species